GGGCCCGCACAAGCGGAGGAACAUGUGGUUUAAUUCGAUGAUACGCGAGGAACCUUACCCGGGUUUGAAUUGCUGAUGUCGGUAUUUGGAGACAGAUACUUCCCUUCGGGGCGUCAGUGAAGGUGCUGCAUGGUUGUCGUCAGCUCGUGCCGUGAGGUGUCGGCUUAAGUGCCAUAACGAGCGCAACCCUUGCCGUUAGUUGCCAUCGGGUCAUGCCGGGCACUCUAUUGGGACUGCCAUCGUAAGAUGUGAGGAAGGUGGGGAUGACGUCAAAUCAGCACGGCCCUUAUGUCCGGGGCGACACACGUGUUACAAUGGGGGGUACAGUGGGAAGCUACCUGGCGACAGGUUGCGGAUCCCCAAAUCCUUUCUCAGUUCGGAUCGGAGUCUGUAACUCGACUCCGUGAAGUUGGAUUCGCUAGUAAUCGCGCAUCAGCCAUGGCGCGGUGAAUACGUUCCCGGGCCUU
rnacentral:rRNA from 1 species